rnacentral:rRNA from 1 species
AAUCCCGAGUAGCAUGGGACACGUGGAAUCCCGUGUGAAUCAGCGAGGACCACCUCGUAAGGCUAAAUACUCCUGGGUGACCGAUAGUGCAAAGUACCGCGAGGGAAUGGUAAAAAGAACCCCUGUAGGGGAGUGAAAUAGAACAUGAAACCGUAAGCUGACAAGCAGUGGGAGGUUCAAAAGGACUGACCGCGUGCCUGUUGAAGAAUGAGUCUGCGACUUAUAGGGAGUGGCAAGGUUAAGGAGUAAAAUCCGGAGCCUUAGCGAAAGCGAGUCUUAAUAGGGCGACAAAGUCACUUCUUAUGGACCCGAACCCGGGUGAUCUAUUCAUGGCCAGGAUGAAGCGAGGGUAACACUUCUUGGAGGUCAUCAGUUCAAUGACGGGCCUUCUUACGCGGCGACGCGUAUAAUAAAAAUCUGGCUCAUAUCGGUGAACCCUCUAUAACUAAAACGUGUAAACAAAAAAGUUAUGUGGCGAUACCGAGGGAAGGUUUUGCAACGUAUUAACGUUAAUAAUAAAAAUCCUGAACUUCGCGGGGCAAAGCCCCGCGAAGUUCAGGCUCCGCCCGCGGCAAAGCCGCGGGCUUAACAUAUUUAAUUUAUUAAUUUAGGCGACGCCCGCGGCAAAGCCGCGGGCAUACCGAUUUUAAAUAGAUCAAAACCCCCGUAACGACUGAAUCGAAAGAUGAGAGUUUAAGAUUUUUCUUAAGCUAAUACGCCAGCACUGCUGUGUCUAUCUUAAAAACUUAAAAAGUCUUUUUUUAAAAAACCUAUAAACUAUAAAUAUUAUAAUAAUGCUCCGCCCACGGCAAAGCCGUGGGCGUAACCUGUUUACCAGAACUUAACGUCGGCAGGUUUACCUGCCGACGUUAAGUUCUGGCUCCGCCCACGGCAAAGCCGUGGGCUGAAGUUGUAGCAAGAUUUAAAGAAGAUUGGCAAAUAUAAAAAUUAAGUUGAUACUGCAGUUGAAGGUAUAGUCUAAACUUACAAGAAAUUGUAAGAGUAAUUGCCGAACCCACCGAUGUUGAAAAAUCGGGGGAUGAGCUGUGAAUAGGGGAGAAAUUCCAAUCGAACUCGGAGCUAGCUGGAUCUCCCCGAAAUGCGUUGAGGCGCAGCGGUGACUAUGAGCUAUCUAGAGGUAAAGCGACUGUUUCGAUGCGGGCUGCGAAAGCGGUACCAAGUCGUGGCAAACUCAGAAUACUAGAUAUAGCCUUCAGUCAACCAGUGAAACACGUCGGGAUUUUAAAUAGUCCCCCUUUAUAGUGAUAUAAAGGUUCUCUUUUUAAGAGAAUAAGGAGCCAGAACGCCCGCGUUGUAAACAACGCGGGGCGUUCAGGUUAACCCUGCUUAUUUUAUAAGUGAGUUCCGAAAAAUUGGGUGAAUUGCCAAGGACGCUAAGUUAAAAGCUACUCGACUCGCUUAGCGAGUCGAGUAUUAAGCCUUUAAUACGCCAACUUGCAGCCAAGUCUAACGAAUUUUCGAAAAGGUAGUUAGAAAGGUUCAACGACUAGGGCUUGAGUACGAAAUAUCAAUAACAGCCCCACGAGCGCCCAACAACUUAGGAUUCUGUACGAAAAGUACUCGCCCGCUGCUUUGCCGCGGGCGAAGCAUAAGUUGAAGACAUAGUCUGAACUGUAAAGAAAUUUACAGAGCUAGUUAUUAAAAACACUAGCACUAUUUGCAAAGGACAAAUAGAUUAACAUAAUUGAAGCUGAUGUGUUAAGAGGGAAACAGCCCAGAUCACCAGCUAAGGCCCCUAAAUGAGUCACUAAGUGGAGAAGGAUGUGAUGAUGCUAAAACAACCAGGAAGUUUGCUCUUUUUGGGCUAGCUAAUAUGUGAGUAUUAGUGAUAAAAACUGGGUGAAUUGUCAAGAAGACUAACGUCUAUGUUUAUUAUAUUUUAAAUUUAAUAACUGUAGACCAUGUUAACUUGCAGCGAAGCUUAUCGAAUGGUAAAUAACAGUAGAUAAGAACGUUCAACGACUAGAAAGUGAAGAUUACCAACUAAUAAACUUUCCACGAGCGCCCAGCAACUUUUGUUUAUAUUUAUAACAGGCCCGCGGCUUUGCCGCGGGCGUAGCAUCAAAUUAAUUAAAUUGUAUUUUUGAUGCGCGGCCAGCAACUAAGCUGGCAAAUAUAAAACCAAGUUGAAGACAUAGUCUGAACUGUAAAGAAAUUUACAGAAAGAAAAGCUUAAAAGCUUUUUAGUGAUUUUAUUCAGCAAGAAAUAGAAUCCUGAACUUCACGCUUCGCGUGAAGUUCAGGUUAACACGUGUUUUUAAAAUUUUUAAAAUUAAUACUUAAAUAAGGCUCGGGGUAACCACAAAGGCCUUGGUAUUAUUAAUUUAAUUUUUAAAACAUUAUAACAAAUUGUAGAAGCAGCCACCUUUGAAAGAGUGCGUAAUAGCUCACUGGUAAAGCGUUGUUGCGCCGAAAAUGGCCGGGACUAAGUGACCUGCCGAAGCUGUGAUAUUUUU